GUGGGGCCUACAUGCCGCGUAGGGAGCUGUUGGUCUCCAGGUUGGUGAGGUUUCCCCGUAGGUCCUGCUCCUCCUCGAAAGCCUUGAACAGUGCGUUGAAGUUGCCGGCUCCAAAACCCUGGAGCGGGAGAGAGAAGAAGCCAGGGCCCCAGGGUCUAGGAAAGGCCCCACCUGGAUCUGGGACUUCUUCUUCCCCGGGGCCGGCUCAUUAAUGGGCAUCUUGAUGGACUCCUCGUAAUUGGCCACCACGAUGGAGCGCAGAGAGCUGUAUUCUGUGUGCACCUGCGUGUCAUCCACGGACCAGAACCGGUGAAACUGCAGAUUCUUCAGGUACCUGCGGGGUGGCCGUAAGGACACGUGGGCUCUGCGUGCCCAGCAGGGACUGGGUCCUUGCCCCGCCUUCCGCCUUCCAGAAUUUGUCUCCUGAGCAGGCUCCAAAAAGGAGCCACUGCUCACCUCACAUACAUGGUACACCAGGACCUUGAUUCUGACCAUUUUCCUUCAAGGGGAACAUGAAGUGUCCCAUGACAAGACCUGUGUGGUCUGGCACGGGUCCGACCAAGAGAAGUGCUUCGAGAAGGGAACCUGUUUCUGUUUUGCAUGAGGCUGCUGUUGGGGUAGUGACAGACUUCCUCCAGAUCUCCCUGGACUGUGAUGCCCUGUGUGCCAAGCUUCCCCACGAGUCCUCCGAGGGAGGACUUGUGGCUCCUUUUGAGCCUUCAAGCCUCUGGUCCUCUGGGAACAGAUGGCUUAGGGACAUCAGGCGAAGCUCCCUCUCCCUUGCGCUCCAUUUCCCACUCACGUGUCCUGAGCAGAGAACUGGGGAGUGGGCCUGUCUCCUUUGCAGUGAGGGGUUGGGCCAGGGACUCACCACUCAGAGGCAGACACCAUCUCCUGGUCAGGCUGGUUUCCCACAAUGUGGUCGAUAAUCUCGAGACUGCAGGUAGGCCUGGGGGGAGGGAUGGGGGUGGGGAGGAAGCCGUUAGGAGGUGAGGACAGGGUUAGUUCCUACACCUCCCCUUCCCCACAGUGACAGCUCACUGUGACAUAGCGCCUACUGGGGCACCUUGCAGGUGUCGUGACUGGUGUGCUAUUACUGGCCCCAUUGUACAGAUGGGGAACUGAGGCAGAGAGGAAUAAAGUAACUACAGAGGUUAAAUAGCUAGGAAAUGACCGAGCCCUAGGGUGCCUGGUGGCUCAGUUGGUUAAGCGGCUGCCUUCAGCUCAGGCCGUGAUCUCAGGGUCCUGGGGUCACCUGCGCAUCGGGCUCCCUGCUCCUCAGGGAGUCUGCUUCUCCCUCUCCCCCUGCCCCCUGCUUGUGCGCACGCUCUCUUUCAAAUAAAUAAAUAAAAUCUUUUUUAAAAAAAGGCAGAGUGGGGUUUCGAGCCCAAGCAAUUGGUUCCAGAGCCUAGGUGCUUAGCCUCUGUGCUGCCUCUUUAGGCUACCCUUGGGAACCCUCAGGCAUUCCCCAGCAGCCUCUCAGGGCAGCUCAGAGAUGCUCAGUCUGCAUGGAGGGUAAGGCAUGGCUUUCCGCCCCUCCCCUCACCCCCUGCCUCAGGACUUUCUGCUCCCACCACCCCAGCCCGAGGGGCACUCACAGCUUGGAAAGUAGGGGGUCCACGGAUACUGGGGCCUCGAAUCCAGGCAAGAACCGGCCAGUAUAGUUCAUCUUUUCCACCAGGGUGUGCGUGGUGUCCCCAUACUAUGGGUGGAAAACAGCCCGGCUUGGCCCGAGACCCCAUCCCUGCCAAGACUGGGCCCCAUCUCGUGGUGCCCACACCACUCCAAGCGGGGUCUGACCCUAACUCUCUGUGUGAUCUUGGAUCCCAGAUGCCUGGCUCCGCCUCCAAGCUGACACCUGCUGCUGUUUCAGCCCUAUCGCAAGCUGCGUGGAGCUAAAAUCAGGUGAAACCACUAUUAUCACGUCAGUGGCUCCAGCAUUGCGUAAGCCGGGAGUGAGGUUACUCAAGAUUAAACACUGAUGCCUUCCAGACUGAACCUGUGUCCUCAUCAUCCAAAGUCCCCAAGCUUUGAAACAUCAUCCACCCUUCAGAGUUAUUGAAAGUCAAUUUAGGGGAAAAAAGAGAAGAUACACAUAAUUAAAAGGAGAAAAAAACAAGGAGAAAAAAAAAUACAGAAGACAAACCCACCCAGGAUCCUUCCUCCACAGACUAUAAACAACCACCAUGACUGAUCUGGGCAUAACCACUGAGCUACACAUUGAUACGUACGUAGGUAUGGGGACAUGUAUAGAUGGUUAUGAGUAUAGAUACACUUUCCUAUAACAACUUCUUAGACGUGUGCUUUGUAAACACUUUUCAUAGUAAUAAACACCUAUGUUCAUUGUG